rnacentral:rRNA from 1 species
UACGUAGGGUGCAAGCGUUACUCGGAAUUACUGGGCGUAAAGCGUGCGCAGGCGGUUAUGUAAGACAGAUGUGAAAUCCCCCGGCUCAACCGGGGAAGGGGCGCCGAUACGACCGCCCUGGAGGGACGUAGGGGGGGCUGGAACUUCCGGUGGAGCGGUGAAAUGCGUUGAGAUCGGAAGGAACGCCCGUGGCGAAAGCGAGCCCCUGGACGUCUACUGACGCUGAGACGCGAAAGCCAGGGGAGCGAACGGG